GACGAACGCUGGCGGCGUGCUUAACACAUGCAAGUCGAACGGAAAGGCCCUGCUUUUGUGGGGUGCUCGAGUGGCGAACGGGUGAGUAACACGUGAGUAACCUGCCCUUGACUUUGGGAUAACUUCAGGAAACUGGGGCUAAUACCGGAUAGGAGCUCCUGCUGCAUGGUGGGGGUUGGAAAGUUUCGGCGGUUGGGGAUGGACUCGCGGCUUAUCAGCUUGUUGGUGGGGUAGUGGCUUACCAAGGCUUUGACGGGUAGCCGGCCUGAGAGGGUGACCGGCCACAUUGGGACUGAGAUACGGCCCAGAGUCCUACGGGAGGCAGCAGUGGGGAAUAUUGCACAAUGGGCGGAAGCCUGAUGCAGCAACGCCGCGUGCGGGAUGACGGGCUUUGGGUUGUAAACCGCUUUCGCCUGUGACGAAGCGUGAGUGACGGUAACGGGUAAAGAAGCACCGGCUAACUACGUG
rnacentral:rRNA from 1 species